rnacentral:tRNA from 1 species
GUAAAUUUAUUGUAAAAAGCAUUUAAAAUUUUCUUUUUUAAAGUAAGAUUAUUCUUAAUUUAUA